UGCAAGUCGAGCGGACCGACGGGAGCUUGYUCCCUUAGKUCAGCGGCGGACGGGKGAGUAACACGUGGGUAACCUSCCUGUAAGACUGGGAUAAYUCCGGGAAACCGGGGYUAAUACCGGAUGCUUGAUUGAACCGCAUGGUUCAAUCAUAAAAGGUGGCUUUYAGCUACCACUUACAGAUGGACCCGCGGCGCAUUAGCUAGUUGGUGAGGUAACGGCUCACCAAGGCGACGAUGCGUAGCCGACCUGAGAGGGUGAUCGGCCACACUGGGACUGAGACACGGCCCAGACUCCUACGGGAGGCAGCAGUAGGGAAUCUUCCGCAAUGGACGAAAGUCUGACGGAGCAACGCCGCGUGAGUGAUGAAGGUUUUCGGAUCGUAAAACUCUGUUGUUAGGGAAGAACAAGUACCGUUCGAAUAGGGC
rnacentral:rRNA from 1 species